UCUUCAUUAGUAUAACGGUUAGUAUAACCGCUUCUCAGUGGCUGGAACUUCCAGUUCUGUUCGCGGUAGACCAGGGUUCAACUCCCUGAUGGAGAA
rnacentral:tRNA from 1 species